rnacentral:rRNA from 1 species
UACGUAGGGUGCAAGCGUUGUCCGGAAUUAUUGGGCGUAAAGGGCUCGUAGGCGGUCCAUCGCGUCGGGAGUGAAAAGCUGGGGCUCAACCCCAGUCCUGCUUCCGAUACGGGUGGACUAGAGGUAUGCAGGGGAGAACGGAAUUCCUGGUGUAGCGGUGAAAUGCGCAGAUAUCGGGAAGAACACCCGUGGCGAAGGCGGUUCUCUGGGACGGUACUGACGCUGAGACGCGAAAGCGUGGGGAGCGAACAGG